rnacentral:rRNA from 1 species
UACAGAGGUCUCAAGCGUUGUUCGGAUUCAUUGGGCGUAAAGGGUGUGUAGGUGGCGCGCUAAGUCGGGUGUGAAAUUUCGGAGCUUAACUCCGAAACUGCAUUCGAUACUGGCGUGCUCGAGGACUGGAGAGGAGACUGGAAUUCAUGGUGUAGCAGUGAAAUGCGUAGAUAUCAGGAGGAACACCUGCGGUGUAGACGGCUUUCUGGACCAUUGCUGACGCUGAGACACGAAAGCGUGGGUAGCAAACAGG